rnacentral:rRNA from 1 species
GAUGAACGCUGGCGGCGUGCCUAAUACAUGCAAGUCGAGCGAAUGGAUUAAGAGCUUGCUCUUAUGAAGUUAGCGGCGGACGGGUGAGUAACACGUGGGUAACCUGCCCAUAAGACUGGGAUAACUCCGGGAAACCGGGGCUAAUACCGGAUAACAUUUUGAACCGCAUGGUUCGAAAUUGAAAGGCGGCUUCGGCUGUCACUUAUGGAUGGACCCGCGUCGCAUUAGCUAGUUGGUGAGGUAACGGCUCACCAAGGCAACGAUGCGUAGCCGACCUGAGAGGGUGAUCGGCCAAAGUGGGACCGAGAAACGGCCCAGACUCCUACGGGAGGCAGCAGUAGGGAAUCUUCCGCAAUGGACGAAAGUCUGACGGAGCAACGCCGCGUGAGUGAUGAAGGCUUUCGGGUCGUAAAACUCUGUUGUUAGGGAAGAACAAGUGCUAGUUGAAUAAGCUGGCACCUUGACGGUACCUAACCAGAAAGCCACGGCUAACUACGUGCCAGCAGCCGCCGUAA